rnacentral:rRNA from 1 species
CCUACGGGGGGCUGCAGUGGGGAAUAUUGGACAAUGGGCGAAAGCCUGAUCCAGCCAUGCCGCGUGUGUGAAGAAGGCCUUCGGGUUGUAAAGCACUUUCAGUGGGGAAGAAAGCCUUGGGGCUAAUACCCUCGAGGAAGGACAUCACCUACAGAAGAAGCACCGGCUAACUCCGUGCCAGCAGCCGCGGUAAUACGGAGGGUGCGAGCGUUAAUCGGAAUUACUGGGCGUAAAGCGCGCGUAGGCGGUCUGAUAAGCCGGUUGUGAAAGCCCCGGGCUCAACCUGGGAACGGCAUCCGGAACUGUCAGGCUAGAGUGCAGGAGAGGAAGGUAGAAUUCCCUGUGUAGCGGUGAAAUGCGUAGAGAUCGGGAGGAAUACCAGUGGCGAAGGCGACCUUCUGGACUGACACUGACGCUGAGGUGCGAAAGCGUGGGUAGCAAACAGGAUUAGAUACCCGAGUAGUC